CAGUAAGAAUUCCGGCUCUCACAGACCUGUUAGUUUUUCUUUAAGAAGCCCUCCUGUUCUCCACUCAUUACCUGUAUUAACUGCACCUGUUUGAACUCAUUACCUGUGUAAAAGACACCUGUCCACACACUCAAUCAAACAGACUCCAACCUCUCCACAAUGGCCAAGACCAGAGAGCUGUGGAAGUACAUCAGGGGUAAAAUUGUAGACCUGCACAAGGAUGGGAUGGGUUACAGGACAAUAGGCAAGCAGCUUGGUGAGAAGGCAACAACUGUUGGCGCAAUUAUUAGAAAAUGGAAGAAGUUCAAGUUGAUGGUACAUCACCCUCGGUCUGGGGCUCCAUGCAAGAUCUCACCUUGUGGGGCAUCAAUGAUCAUGAGGAAGGUGAGGGAUCAGCCCAGAACUACACAGCAGGACCUGGUCAAUGACCUGAAGAGAGCUGGGACCACAGUCUCAAAGAACCAUUAGUAUCACACUACGCCGUCAUGGAUUAAAAACACAGAGUUUGAUCAUGUGCUGACAGAGAGAGAGGGAGGAGUUUGGGGAGUGUUUAAAAUGAGAAGAGUAUUUUUUUUUCUCUCAUAGCCUGCAUUUCACUUUGAGCUGACAAGGAGAUGAGCAUUCUAGAGUGGUGAGGAGUGGUUUCAUGUAUAUUUAUGAGUAUCAAUUAAGCAGCCAGAAGCAUUGUACUUUCUUUAUUGCUUAAGGGAUUGUGUUAAGUUUUUUUAUUUACUAUUAUUUCCCUUUUCAAUAGAAUAGAAUAGUAUAGAUGGCUCCAGUGCGCUCAUGUCCAAUAUGCUAUAAGGUUGUGAUUGGCUUCAGUCAGCACCUUAGGUAUGUACACCAUGUGAGGAAAGGGUACUCCUUUGUAGGUGGCAGUUGGGCCGCAUCAAUGUCAGGCAGGAGCAGUGUCCAGUGUCAGGAUGCUCCAAACGUCUUAGCAGAUUAGACCGGUAUAUAGACUCCCACUCAGAGCUCAACAGAGCACAGAGGAGACCGGUUUUAGAGGACCUUAGGAGACGGCUGACGAUGAAGAGGCUGGCGGUGUUGAGGGCAUCGAUCCCUGCCAUCCCAAUGGCGACAGAUUUAGAUAUUGUGGAGACUGUAAGGAAAGAAGAAGAGGAGGAAAUGUUAUGUUCACCUACAGAAGCAGAGGAGGAAGUGGACUGCAAAGAGGAUUCCUGCCACUGCCAUGCACCAAUCCUGAGACUGAAAAAAGCUGUGCAAGAGAGGGAUGAAGCACUGCAUACAAGAAGUGAGACCAACAAAUCCAUUAAAGAGGACGACCUGAAGUUGAUCUCUGAUCUGCAAAGGGUGAGGAAGAAGUACCAGCUGCUGAAAAGGCAGAUGGGGAUUGGCAUGGUGAAGGCCCUCAACUUUCAGGCAGAUUCAGACACAGACACAAAGCAAGAGGAGCAGGACCAAGCUACAGGUACAGGGGACCAGAGAGAGGAGCCUACAGUGUCCGGAUCUAGCUGCAAACUCAUCUUCCCGGGCUCUGCUAUGAGUGUGUUUAUCGAGGGAUUCAGGAAGACCUGUGAGGGCCCUAAUCCAAAUUAUAAGCUGAGUGAAAAUUGUGCCUCAAAGAUGGGUUCAAUUCCUCCAGAAGAACAAGCCAAUCACCACAGUCAACCAUUACACCUUGACUAUUGGUGCAUUUCUUAAAUAUUCUGAGGAGACCCCUCCACCUGGCUGCCGGUUGACCGUGAACCAAUGGAGGGGGAUCAACCGGUUGAUGAAGGGCAUUAGCAAGUCCAUGAGACGACCAGUUUCCCUUCACCAGGUAAAGGUGAAGGACAACAAGGAAGGUAAGGUGGUGUCCAAAAAGAGCCUGCUCUGGAGUGCCAGUCUCUUGCCAAGGCAAAAAUCCCUCAAGUGCUGAGUAAGUUUUUCUCAAUCUGUUAUGUCACUGUUUUUACACACUUAUAGAAGUCAGAGAUGUAUAGAAUGCAUUAUGGAGUGGGAUUAUGAAGCUGCCUUUUUUUAUUUUCAUGUUCACAGAAACAUUGGAAGAAACAAGGACACAGAGGAAUCAGUACCGGUUUUAUGGGUACCUGUGUACCUACUUUACAUCCAUAUACGGCCACAGACCAGGCCUAUAUAAAAACAUGUUGGUGGAGGAGGCAAAAUGUGACCAGUCUGGGGUGUAUCUGAUCAAUGUGGGGGAACACAAAACAAAUCGGGAGUACGGCAUGGUCCAGAUGUCGCUGACGAAGGAGGAGUACAGUUGGUUUUCUGACUUCCUCAAAUUCAAGCACUGUCUCUUAGGGGGAAAGAAGGCCCAGCACUUCUUUUUCAAUUCCACAAACACUCAGAUGAAGAACCUGCCUGCCUACCUGAGGGAGGUGUGGAAGGAGAUGGGUCGACCGCCUUUGACAGGUCAAUAAACAAGGCAGCACAGCUCUUUUUAGCAUCCAACGCAUUGACAAGAUACUUAACAACUAGCCUGGUUACUGUGGUAGCACUAUGCCCAGGCCUAAACCCUGAUUGGUUUAUACUAUUAAAAAUAACAUUAUUAAAACAAAAGGAACGAAGUCGUACAUUAAAUAAGGAUUCAAUAAUCUUAGCUGAAGAAGGUAGUCUUGAAAUGGGGCGAUAGUAAACUAAAAACUACAAACUACUCUUUUCAAGAGCUGCCUUUGAAACACAUACAAAUAUAAAGCCUGCAGAGAUAAAACUGUGAUUAAAUGUAUUAAUGAUACCAAUUUUAUCAGCAAUAGAGACAGAAUCUAAAUUAAUUUAUUGGGGGAGAAAGGAGGAGACACGUCAGUGAUACAAAUACACAUACACUUCCGCUCUCAUAAUGUGCUGCUACUCUGUUCUUAUUGUAAUACAAUUAUCUAUCCUGAUGCUUAAGUCACUUUACCCUGCCUUUAUGUACAUACAGUAUCUACCUCAAAUAUCUCAUACCCCUGCACAGUGAUAUGGUAUUCCCUGGUUAUUCCAACUCUCCCACAAGGCUUUUAGGGGUUAAUGGCAGAGGCUAAUGCAGCAUCCCGCAAUGCUUGCAGUUCUACCUGCAGUUACUGCUGAUGGACUGAGCAAUGUGCUCAACAAUGCUUACCAGUGGGUUAAAAUGGAAUAUUAUCGAAUAUAUUAAAUGGUGUAAUGUGUUUGUUAAACACUAAUAUUUGUGGUUUACAUAGUAUUUGUUACAUCAACUCAUAUUUAAUCAUAUGAGUAAAUCCAACACAUUUUUAAUGGCUAAUAUUAAUUCUUACUUUAUUGUGUAAACUCAAAGAAUGUAUUACUUUUUUUAAUCUCAAAAACAUAGGGCAUUACAUGUACUCAAUAAUACCGUAUGUCAUUUUGUUAGAUUUUUUAAAAGUAGAUUAAACACUUAAUUUGUUACUCUUUCCCCGUAUUUCACAGAUUUUUCUCUCUACAAUAAUGCUGUAAAAUGUAACAUUAUGGUAUCAUUAUACCCCAUUAAAGUGUGU